UACGUAGGGUGCAGGCGUUAAUCGGAAUUACUGGGCGUAAAGCGUGCGCAGGCGGUUUCUUAAGUCAGAUGUGAAAGCCCCGGGCUUAACCUGGGAACUGCAUUUGUGACUGCACGGCUAGAGUGUGUCAGAGGGGGGUAGAAUUCCACGUGUAGCAGUGAAAUGCGUGGAUAUGUGGAGGAAUACCGAUGGCGAAGGCAGCCCCCUGGGAUAACACUGACGCUCAUGCACGAAAGCGUGGGGAGCAAACAGG
rnacentral:rRNA from 1 species